GACGAACGCUGGCGGCGUGCUUAACACAUGCAAGUCGAGCGGUAAGGCCCUUUCGGGGGUACACGAGCGGCGAACGGGUGAGUAACACGUGGGUGACCUGCCCUCAGCUCUGGGAUAAGCCUGGGAAACCGGGUCUAAUACUGGAUAUGACUCCAUGACGCAUGUUGUGGGGUGGAAAGCCUUGUGCGGCUGAGGAUGGGCCCGCGGCCUAUCAGCUUGUUGGUGGGGUGANGGCCUACCAAGGCGACGACGGGUAGCCGGCCUGAGAGGGCGACCGGCCACACUGGGACUGAGACACGGCCC
rnacentral:rRNA from 1 species